rnacentral:rRNA from 1 species
GAGCACGUAGGUGGGUUUGUAAGUCAGACGUGAAAGCCUUCUGUUCAACGGAGGAAUUGCAUCUGAAACUACAAACCUUGAGUGUAGGAGGGGAGAAUGGAACUUCUGGUGGAGCGGUGAAAUGCGUAGAUAUCAGAAGGAACGUCGGCGGCGAAAGCGACUCUCUGGCCUAUUACUGACACUGAGUGUGCGAAAGUUAGGGGAGCAAACGGGAUUAGAUACCCCGGUAGUCCUAACUGUAAACGAUGGGCACUAAGUAGAGGGGUUU